rnacentral:lncRNA from 1 species
CGAAGCCGCCCGGAGGGGCGCGGACAGUCCAGCCGCAGCCCCAGCCUGGCAGCCCCGGUGCGCGCCCGCCCCCUGCCAGGACGGCUGUGGAGACCCCCGCCGCGCCGACGACCUUGCCGUUGGGACGACCGCCUUCCAAAGUUUUUCGGGAGUGUGUGAGCCUCGGUGAUGCACUACCUGAGCAUCAGUCCCAAACCGGGAGCCUGCACGGGGGGAGAAAUUGACCGUUGGAGCCACCUCUUGAGUGUCCUUCCAGAAGACAACAGAGGCCUCACAGAAGAAGGAAGGAGUCCCGUUGCUGUGCCAGGAGGUACGAGCAGACAAGGAAGGGUCCCGUGCUACCCGAGGGCACAGAGGUUGGUCUUUGGCCUCGCUCUCUGCCACGGGCCCGGGCCUGACACUGUGUCAUCUGAAUGAACAAUCAUACGGGACUCGUGGAAAAGUCAGAGAGCGGAUGGAAGCAUCUACCAUGUACUGUUUCUAAGCUGCUGUGAACACUGAAUGGAUAUGCUCUGCGCUGUGGGUCCACGUUUACAUCCGUGGGCUAAUCUCAAGGACUGAGGAUGGACUGGAUGUGUAGUUUAUGAUUCUAGCAGUAGUUUUUAGGGCUACUUCAUCAACUGUGUCAGAGAGAGUUCUAGAACCAGUAGGUUGGAAUCCUUAGUAGAUCUCAAAGCCUUACUUACAGAUUUCUGGACUGCCUCUUGCUGCUACCAUAACACUUCGACCAAAUUUGUUAGGCUUGCCUGGUGGAAGGCGUAGAGCCAUCAGGGAAGUCCGUGUCAUUCCCAUCCAUCCACACCUCCUCCUUGGCAUCCCCCUUACUAACAGGGAGUCCAGGGACGGCUUGUAUGUCAGAGCUAGCCUCACCUCAUUCUACCCCCUUCUCCAGUGGCUUCUCCUGCACCACCUUGCCCACUUUGCUAAGAGACUUCACCUUAUUAAGGUUUAUAUUAUUUUAACACAAACCGACAGCAUGCCACUGAAGCUUUCACUGUAUUUCUGUUUGAUCCUUUGCUGUUAAAAAGAAACUCAGGGGACCCGGGGUGGCUCAGUGGGUUAAGCAUCUGCCUUCAGCUCAGGUCAUGAUCUCAGGGUCCUGGGCUCGAGCCCCAUGUCACGCUCCCUGCACAGUGGGGAGUCUGCUUCUCCCUCUCCCUCUGCCUGCUGCUCCCUGCUGUGUGUGUGCUCUGUCAAAAUAAAUAAAGAAAAUUAAAAAAAAAAAAAAAAGAA